GUCUUCGUGGAGUAAUGUAACUCACUCCCACCUGCUAGGUGAGCCAAAAUAGCCACGGGAGGGAAGGUGGUUUGAAUCCACCCGAAGACA